CAGGAUCCAACUACCAGCAGCAGCAUCAGAGUCACAGACAGCAUGGCUGAUGUUAAAGAAACUGAUUGCUUCUGCUGAUCCAAGCUGCAUAGACAACACUACUGAAGCCUGACCCAGUAAAUUGACAGAAUAAGAACAACAGCCAUAAACUCAGCUACAGUUUGAAACUUUGUGAUUAGAUUUAGCAAAAGAUCCUGGCUUGGGUAAAGAUACACCAUUUUAUCUACCUUGGAUGUCAGCUUGAAGUGGGACAUAAUAUUUUAAAGUGUGAUACGAAGUGGACUUGACCGAAGAUAUAAAAAGGCUGUCUGAUCCAAGCUGUGUGAUAGUUACCAACAGAAUAAGAGACCUGACAUGUGAUGAAAAAGAAAAACUGAUAACAGUGACAAAUCCACAGAGACUCACUUCCAGCUGCCAACAACAGGAGCAGAGCUACAGAAAACAUGAUUUAUGUCCAGCUUGGCGUGCCGUGAAUGGCUUGAUGUCAGUG